UACGGAGGGGGCUAGCGUUGUUCGGAAUUACUGGGCGUAAAGCGCACGUAGGCGGCUUUGCAAGUCAGAGGUGAAAGCCCGGGGCUCAACCCCGGAAUUGCCUUUGAGACUGCAUCGCUAGAAUUGUGGAGAGGUAAGUGGAAUUCCGAGUGUAGAGGUGAAAUUCGUAGAUAUUCGGAAGAACACCAGUGGCAAAGGCGACUUACUGGACACAUAUUGACGCUGAGGUGCGAAAGCGUGGGGAGCAAACAGG
rnacentral:rRNA from 1 species